UGCGCGCCACCUGGAGCACCCCGGGCGUCCCAGCUCGCUGUUAUUAUCCCCUUUGGUAUCCUCUUCACCCGACACCCCCGCCAGCUAGCUCUACCUCCCCUGUCCAUCGUCAAAAGCUGCCGCCGUUGAGCUUAUCCUCUGAGCCCGACGAACCGAUCUUGGCCAGCUAUAAGAGGACGUCCCCGAGCUCUGAGAGCACCCCAUCGCCCUCCCUAGACCCGCAUCAAGUCCCCUAUAGCAGCCAAUUGACUGGAGCCGGUCUCCCUGCUCAACUCAGGCCGCAUCAUCCGCCGGCAACCUCUGGUCAUUUCUGGCGCAACCGAGCCCCUCCCGCUCCACCUUAGCCACCACUAGCUCUACCACGGCCCCUAUAAUCAACACCAUACCCAAUUUCAUCGGAAAUGAACCGUAGACAGAGUGCUUAGGACGCCGGAGGUUCCAUCCACCAUGGUUGGAAGUGUGAUCUUCCUCGAGCUCUUUGGCGACCCCUUGCCCUCGAGAGGAUGAGGCCCUUCCUCCUAAACGCGCCGGUGUACCCAACUCCGGGAAAGAUGCUUCCUAGAGCCGGCAAUCACCGUCAAUGUCGGCUCCUUCUCCCUGUCCGUGUGCACGAGGGAGGAAGACAAAACAGAUAGGUGCACCCCACGUGUCGGUGGGGCAGUGGAUCCCUCCGAUGGCACACCUGCGCUUGUGCAUUUCCAAUGUCAGAAAGCGAACUCCCAUAAGAAAAUUGGAGGGAAGAAUCCUUUCAAAGGUUUUGGAGUGCAUGCCACCAUUCUUCAUACCCAAGGCAAGCAUCUUGAACACUGAUUUGUCGUAAGCUGAGUGAUUGCUUGCUUAGAUGAAUGAUUGCAUGAUAUGUUAGUAAGAUAAAAGUUUUCAUAUUGGAAAUAUUUAUGCAUGAAUGCACGUGAUAUGUAUUUACUUCCUGUUGAGCAUAAAAUACUGAAGAUAGUGGGUACCGCCUCAUGCCACGUAUGCCUAUGCUAAUCCGGACAACCUCGAAGGAAGGUGUGUCGCAGGUAAAAGUGUGACCGUGAAAACUGAUAUCUCGUUGUGACGAGAGUGAUCAGUGGGGGCAUAUCGGGUUUGAUGGUAGUAACACUAUCAGAUAUCAUUCAGAAUUUUUUGGUGCUAACCAGGAAAACUUAAACCUCAUGAGUCGACCGUAGAUCGAAUCUCGUGCCAGUAACCCCCAUACUUGAUUUGUGCUACCACUUGUCCCUACCAUGGGUAGGUUACGGUUGAGUAAGUCAUCAACCCCUUUCGUUGCACCCACCAUACAGAGAGGCCAUAGUGAAAGAUACCACUAAUCACUGGUAGGCAUGUCACUUAGUCCGGGGGCAUGGGGUUUCCGGUGGGGUCGAGAGGGGGCACCCCUUAGUUGCGUGCGGUACAAAUUUGAUUCCAUGCUAAUAGAGAUUGUGAUCUCCCCACUUAGAGUUUUGCUUAACGGUUACUUGGGUGAUUACUUGUAUCAGGUAUUUAAGUUGGUGUGUGCGGGUCACGUGUGUUUUCAACUCAAAGACCAUAACUGGAAUUAGUUGACUUCUCUAGUUGACUAAAGAAAUUUGUUACUCGUGGGUAAAGAGUACACACUGUGCAGAGUUAAAUAUCUAUUCGAGUAGCCGUGUCUGCAGGUAAGGACUACAACUUGGGAUAGGUCAAGUGUCGGUUUGAGUGUUGGUCUUCACAGGAAUUAAUUGAAACAUGAUGGAUGAUUAUAAUUAUUAUGAAUCUUGCUGUGGACUAACCAUCUCUUGUAUAUGAAUUUGUUUUGAGUGUCCUUGGGAAGGUCUACCUCAUGGAUACUCGAUGUUAUUAUUAUAAUAUAAGCCCUUUAUGUGGAUCACUCAGAUGCCCAACUAUGGCAACUGUUAUUAUUUUCAUAUAAGCCCUUUAUGGGGCGUCACUCGGACGCCCGACUAUGACAACUCUUAUUAUUUUCAUAUAAGCCCUUUAUCUGGCGUCGCUCAGACGUCCGACUGUGCCAAUUGUUAUUAUUGUCAUGUAAGCCCUUUAUGUUGCAUUGCUCAGACACCUGACUGUGGCAACUGUUAUUAUUUCCAUAUAAGACAUUUAUGUGGCAUCGCUCAGACGCCCGAUUGAGGCACGUUUUAUAUUGUUAUCCUUUCGAGGUGUCUCUCAAGACGCCCGAUCGGCCCAUUUAUUCCUAUUGUUACUUACUCCCCUUGUUUUCUUAUACACACUGAGUAGGAAUGAUUUAUCUGCAUAGCUGCAUUCAUAAAUUAAAUCUUAUGACAUGUCCAGGCUAUUAAGAUUCUAGUUGCAUGCAUCUCACGUGCUUUUACUUAUCUGUUUUCAUGAUGUUUGUGAGUACAUUCAAAGUACUCACUCGCUUCUCCCUAGCUAUUGUCUUGGCCAGAUUGCGUUCUUGGAGAGGAGCAUGAUGACGUCAACCCUGGAACCCAAGAGUCAAUGAUAGCAUCCUUGCAACAUAGGAAUUAUCUAGGUCAACUGUUCCUGUGGGAAUGGAGUCCCAUGGACACUGGAGAUAUACGAGUCGCUUCCGCCGUCAGCCCCUAGACAUUUUGUACAACCCCAUGGACCUUCAUGGUUUUGUACCCCAAAUUUUUCAUUUUGCUUGGAGUUACUGUAUCAAGUGAGUGUCCACCAACUAAUAGUUAUCCUGGGGCUGGUGAACACAAAGCCUGUUACUGGGAA